AUUGAACGCUGGCGGCAUGCCUUACACACGCAAGUCGAACGGCAGCACGGGUGCUUGCACCUGGUGGCGAGUGGCGAACGGGUGAGUAAUACAUCGGAACAUGUCCUGUAGUGGGGGAUAGCCCGGCGAAAGCCGGAUUAAUACCGCAUACGAUCUACGGCUGAAAGCGGGGGACCUUCGGGCCUCGCGCUAUAGGGUUGGCCGAUGGCUGAUUAGCUAGUUGGUGGGGUAAAGGCCUACCAAGGCGACGAUCAGUAGCUGGUCUGAGAGGACGACCAGCCACACUGGGACUGAGACACGGCCCAGACUCCUACGGGAGGCAGCAGUGGGGAAUUUUGGACAAUGGGCGAAAGCCUGAUCCAGCAAUGCCGCGUGUGUGAAGAAGGCCUUCGGGUUGUAAAGCACUUUUGUCCGGAAAGAAAUCCUUGGCCCUAAUACGGUCGGGGGAUGACGGUACCGGAAGAAUAAGCACCGGCUAACUACGUG
rnacentral:rRNA from 1 species